GACGAACGCUGGCGGCGUGCUUAACACAUGCAAGUCGAACGGAAGUAUAUAUUAAGCUUGCUUUUUGUAUACUUUAGUGGCGGACGGGUGAGUAACGCGUGAGGACUUGUCCACUCCAGGGGGACAACAGUUGGAAACAGCUGCUAAUACCCCAUAAGCCUAAGGGUUAAAGGAGCAAUCCGGGAGAGGAGAGACUCGCGUCCUAUCAGCUAGUAGGUGAGAUAAUGGCUCACCUAGGCUAAGACGGGUAACCGGACUGAGAGGUCGAACGGUCACACUGGAACUGAGACACGGUCCAGACUCCUACGGGAGGCAGCAGUGGGGAAUCUUGGGCAAUGGGGGCAACCCUGACCCAGCGACGCCGCGUGGGUGAAGAAAUUCUUCGGAAUGUAAAGCCCUGUUGUAUGGGAAGAUAAUGACGGUACCAUACCAGAAAGCCCCGGCAAACUACGUG
rnacentral:rRNA from 1 species